rnacentral:rRNA from 1 species
GACGAACGCUGGCGGCGUGCUUAACACAUGCAAGUCGAACGGUGAAAGCGGAGCUUGCUCCGCUGGAUCAGUGGCGAACGGGUGAGUAACACGUGGGCAACCUGCCCCUCACUUCGGGAUAACUCCGGGAAACCGGGGCUAAUACCGGAUAUGACCUCCUUGGGCAUCCGCGGAGGUGGAAAGUUUUUCGGUGAAGGAUGGGCCCGCGGCCUAUCAGCUUGUUGGUGAGGUAGUGGCUCACCAAGGCGACGACGGGUAGCCGGCCUGAGAGGGCGACCGGCCACACUGGGACUGAGACACGGCCCAGACUCCUACGGGAGGCAGCAGUGGGGAAUAUUGCGCAAUGGGCGAAAGCCUGACGCAGCAACGCCGCGUGAGGGAUGACGGCCUUCGGGUUGUAAACCUCUUUUAGUAGGGAAGAAGCGAAAGUGACGGUACCUGCAGAAGAAGCACCGGCUAACUACGUGCCAGCCGCCGCCGUAA